UAUCUACUACCUUCGUCUGGAAAUACUUGUCAUCAAAAUGAAUAAAAAAGAUGUAUCUAGACGUAUUUUAAUUCUAGAUACAUCUAUUUUUAUCCAUUUUGAUGACGAGUAUUUUUGGACGGAGGGAGUAUUAG
rnacentral:pre_miRNA from 1 species